UUAUCCUGGAGCUCCCUCUAGUGCCACAAUAUUAAAUAGUAGCUUUUGGAGGCUCUGUGGGUACCCAACUGUUAACGAAUUCAUCAAUCAAAAAGCAUUUAUUGAGCACCAACUAUGUGCUGAGCACUGUAAGUGGAUACAGAAAAGCCAAGCAACUUUCAACAAAUAAUGUCUUAUCUUCCUCUCUGUUGCCACUCUCCUAACUGGAUAUUCAAGGUGACAAGUCCUGGGUUCCAUAGAGAGGUUACUAUUUCACUCAUCAGGGUUCUAGUGGCCAGGCCUGAGCUCCUACUGCUGUGUUCCCUAUUAUCAACCUUUUUUUAGUUUUUAGAAAAGGAAUUAACUGAGAUAGCAUAGUGACAGCAGUUCAUACAAAACAUUCCCUCUAAACUGGGCUGUACAAACAGGUCUCUGAGUAGGAGAGGCUCCAAAUUAACGUACAGUGGUAAAUGAAACACGUUUGGACUCAGAAGUCCUUUUCUCCCUUUACAGAAUCCUCAUGAAGUCCUCCCUGGCUGUAGUUUUCUGUGGGCCUCCGAGAAUAAUUGCUUUUCUGAAUCCUAAAAUGUCAGAAAACAACGAUCACAAAUGGCUUCACCAUGCAAAUGAAAAAUAAAUAAAUACUUUUAAAAGAGAAAAUUACAAUAAAGAAAAAUGCUGCAAAGAGGCAAGUUAAGACUCGAGGUCAGAAAAAAAGCUUUCUACCAACUAGAACCAUCCCAGAGUACAAUGGGCUGCUUAGAAGUUGCUUUCUCCCUUUGUAUGUUGGCUAUGUUCCUUUCCUGUAUCAGAUGGGGAAGCUAAGACUGAGAAAUUAAAUGACUUUUCUGAGGUCAUCCAGUAAGUUGGACCCUGAGUCUGUGUGAUUUCAAGAGACGUUUGAGAGAUCACAUGUAUGUCCAUAUACACAACUCAGCAUCCUAUCCACUGUAUGACCUGGCUGCCCUUUUCUUCUGGAUAUCCUCAUGGAAUUCCAUUGUAAGCCAGACCAAGACAGUUCUCAGUGGAUCAUUGAACAGAGUUAUCUUUGGAGCUGUACCUGUUUAAAAAGCUCUAUUCCCACUCAAAGACUUUGUGAUUCUGGGUAUCUGAGUCACAAAUUAACGUACGACCUUUGGAACCUGGAGAGUGGAUUUGAAAGUUUCAUAUUAUUCCCUGAAACUAAGAAAGAAGAUUUUGAUCCUUCUGGGGUUGACAUCCUCAUGGGUCCAAAGCUCACCACAUUUCCAGGGUAAUGCCUGAUCAGAGGAAAUAGAUGGAAAGACCCAGCCUAGAAUGAAACCAGACUCUGCAAAGGGUUUUUUUGAGUGCUUUAUUUCCUAGAGGGACAAAAGCAAAAGGUACUUUCUCGACAGACAAAUGUGAGGCCUGGAAGUUCUCUGUUUCCCUAGAUGACAGUGAUGACAUAGGGAAAGUAUGCAUUCGCCUGUUGGAAAAUACCUAGAAGCUUAUGCUGGCAGACAUCACCUACUUCUGACUGCCCUCCAUUCUCAUAGCCUGAAUCCCAGCUGCUCUCCCAUUGUAUAUUCUCAAAAGAGAAUUUGUUGUUGUUCAGUCAUGUCCAACGCUUCGUGACCCAUUUGGGGUUUUCUUGGCAGAGAUACUAGAGGGGCUUGCCAUUUCUUUCUCCAGAUCAUUUUACAGAUGAGAAAACUGAGGUAAACAGGGUUAAGUGACUUGCUUAAGAUCACUUAGCUAGUAAAUAUCUGCAGCCAGAUUUGAACUCAGAAAGAUGAAUCUUCCUUACUCCAGCCCCAGCACUCCAUCUACUCUCUCUCCUAAAAGAGAAUAGCUGGUCUUCUCUCCUGGAGCCCCCAUCUCUGGUUAAGAGGAAGGAUGGUACCCCCAACCAUUUAGGCAGCUUCAGCUGCCUCUUAGUUCCCCAUUUUGAAAUUAUUGAUUAUUGUGUGGGAAGGGAAGGGGAGGGGAGGGGAGGGAAGAGUGACAGUAAUGGAGGUAAGGAUCAAGGUGUCUAAAAAGCCUCAGGAGAUCACUAGAGGAGUUGGAUAAUAAACAGCUUCCAUUUUCAAAUCA
rnacentral:lncRNA from 1 species